rnacentral:rRNA from 1 species
CCUACGGGUGGCAGCAGUGAGGAAUAUUGGGCAAUGGGCGCAAGCCUGACCCAGCAACGCCGCGUGAAGGACGAAGGCUUUCGGGUUGUAAACUUCUUUUCUCAGGGACGAAGAAUGUGACGCUACCGCCUGACUAAGCCACCUCUAACUACGUGCCUGCACCCGCUGCAAUCCGGAGGUGGCAAUCGUUCUCCGGAUUUGUUGGGUGUAAAGGGCGGGUAGGCGGGAGCGCAAGUCAGAGGUGAAAACUCAGGGCUCAACCCUGGGCCUGCCUUUGAAACUGUGUGUCUUGAGUGCUGGAGAGGCAGUCGGAAUUCCGUGUGUAGCGGUGAAAUGCGUAGAUAUACGGAGGAACACCAGUGGCGAAGGCGGAUUGCUGGACGGUAACUGACGCUGAGGCGCGAAAGCGUGGGGAGCAAACAGGAUUAGAUACCCGAGUAGUC